AUUUUGAUAAGGAACUGCAGGACUGAGGUCUCAUGGAUUUGAAGAAAUUACGCCCCUGAUGCAGCAGCUGCACAGAUCCCGUCCUGCAGCUCCUCUCGAACCCUAGAGGGUGCAAUUCGCUCAGAGAGCCUCAGCAGAGCUCCGAAACCGGAAUACGGAGGCUGCUUGGCAAGCCGGGGAGGUGGGAGAGGAGGAGCUGACGGCGAGAACACCUCAGCCAAGGCGCUCCAGGUUCAAGAACUCGGCUCUUCCCCGUGUGCCUUCCCUGCCCGCCCCUGCGGCAGCGCGGGAUGUGCGAUCCGGAGCAGGAGGCUGCUGGUGCCAUCCUGCUGCCGGGGGGGAUGUGGACGGCGA
rnacentral:lncRNA from 12 species